ACCCCGACGACUAAACCUAACUCCUCCGCCUCCUCCCCACCAUCACCCGCCGCCACUGCUUCGGUGCUUCUCCUCUGUUCUCCUUGCGCUGUUCCUUCCCAGACCCGAUCCAGCCAAGCAGGCGCCCUCUUUCUCUCUCUCGAGGUUGGCCAACCGCCGGUGACUUCGACGAGCUUCGGCGACGGGGCAUCCACGGCGAGCUGCGCGCGACAGAGCGUUGGUACGCGAGCCGCAACCGCCACCUUGACGUCACUGGAUCUCAUAGCCCCGUGCCUUGAAGCUGCUGGAUCUAGCCGUCCCUGGCGUCACCAGAAACGAUGGUGGAGGUUGCUCCGGCGAGUUCGCGCACUUGUGCGAGACGGCGCCAUCUCCGGCGAGCGGUGAGCCCCUCUCUCUUUUCGUCCUUAUGAUAUCAUCUGCGAGUGGUCAGCCCCUCUCUCUGCAGCUUUGUUGGCAUGGGAGGCGGUGAAGCCACUGUCGACGAAGGAGGUGGAGUUGGCGCCUCUGCAGGCAAUGGAUGUUCACGUCAGUAUCCCCUUCACCUCCAUCCGCCUCAUCGACGUCUACAUCUGUGAUGCCAGGCUCUCUUUUAGGCGACCGGAGAAGCCAGCCAGCGUGGGGAUGCUUCGAGGAGUUGCGGCGAGGGAAGGCCAAGCACCAGGAGCCCACAAGGAAUAUCGACCGAAUGUCAAUUUGAUCCGAGUCAAUUGUCUAUUUAUAUGGCAUCUAGUCUGAACAGCUGUAUGUUAUAUAUGCGCAUUUUUGAACUGCUUUGUAUGUGGGCAUUUCUUGAAUAACUUUAUAUAUAGGCAUGUCUUCAACAACUUUA